CAUGCCUCAAACACUCAGGGCGGGGGAACAGGAGAUGCCUCGCCCCUCAAAGUGGGCUAGAUGCUGUUACCCUUCAGGAGCAGAUACAAAGGGCCAUGGAGAUCAGACAUGCAAUCCAGGAGGUUAAGGCAAGGAGGCACCCCCACUUUCUGGAAGUUCGCAUCACGCCACCUCACUUUUCCCAGAGACGGCCCUAGAACCUGAUUGUGCUAACCAGCAGAAACCCAAAGAGGAUUUUUGCUUUUAUGAAAAAAGGCAGAAUGUGAAAAUAGUGCUCAGCAUGUUUUGGAGUGAGCUGGUUAGAGGCAGCACGCACCGCAAGCAGCGAGGGCACCCCACCCAGUGCCCUCCCCAGAGCCGCACAGCAUCACGCUGCCAGAGCUCCGGACUGUGAGAGCAUCUGGGCUUUAUCUCGAUUUGCUUUGUGCAUCCACUAGAUAUGUCUUCAGGUAUCAGAAAAGCCUGAGAGAGGUUGUUUUUUGGACUUGGGAAUGCUUGGCAUUUUUUCUGAAUGAAUUAAUGAUAAUUGCUUCUUCAGAAAGCUGUUUUGGCUUAUGAAAGUUUUCAUAGGAGCAAUCUACCUUUGGUAUGUGGGAACCUGUAUUUGUUACUUUCAUGAGGAACUAAAGAAGCCGUGAAUUAUCAUUCCUUGUCAUUCAAAUUAACAGAGAUUUAAAAAGAGAGAGACCUGGGGAGUGCAUGCAUGCGGAGACAGGCGUGCCUGCAGGUGGCUGGCAGGAGCUCCGUGGAAGUCUGGGGUGCCUGGCAGCGGACCUCCCUGCUUCCGUGGGCCUUCCCUCUGCUCAGACAUUCUGAGCUUUAUUUACUGAUGAUAAUGAGAUGCAGGACGUGCACCCCUCCCUCUGGUGGAAGACGACCAGCAUGGUUCACCUAAGGACUGCCGAAGAGCUGGGACUUGGCUGGGAGCGGGGAGUGCCAACUCAACCUCAUAGUAAAUUUAGAAAUAAACUUUUAACCUGGUCAGACAAAAAGACCAGCAGAAAACGGCACCCCAGUGUGAUGAACCCAAGACCCUGGGGAACCUGAAGAAAAGUGUCCAGGGAAAUGAGAACAUGUCAUGUGCUGCCCCACUUCUCCCCUGAAAAAAGUGUUUGGCAACACGAGCUCUACGGUGGUGCUAACAGUGCCCAGUGCAGGUGCCUCCUGGUGAGGAGCGGGCUGUCUGGGGAACAUGGGUCCCGAGGUUUUCAGGAGGCUGCCCCCUGGGGACCAUCCUGGGAGACAGAUGCGGUCCUACACAGAGGAGCUGCCGCCACCCUUUCCACCUGGCUAUGGCCUUGGGGGGUGGGCCCUCUCCUAGGGGCUUGGCCGGCCAGGCUGGCCCUCCCCUCCCUCGUUUCCCUGCGGCUCCUAGACAGUCCUGAGAGGACCACAGCAUCCUUGGUAGCCGGAUGGGGACACAGGACAGCAGACCCUAGCCCUCACGCCCAGCCAGGACCCCCACUGGUGGCCCACCUGUCCCUCCUACCUGCCCAACAAAGUGGUGUGAGCCCUCUGCCGGGGAAACAGCAGUGGUGACCUGGCAACUGUCUCUGGGCACCCGCGACGCAGUGGCCCAGAGGACCAGUCCUGAGCCUUUGAAGACCCCCAAAUCCACACCUGGAAACAGGGCCCGUCCCCGUGUUGCGUUCACCAUGCUUCAUCGCCACUCG